rnacentral:tRNA from 1 species
GGGGCUGUAGCUCUGUGGCAGAGUGCUUGCCUAGCACGCAUGAAGCAAUGAGUUCAAUCCUUGGCACCA